AUGAUGGACUAUAGGACAGGACUGCUGCUUUUAACUCUCUGCUGGGCAGGUGUUGAUGGUCAGACUCUGACAGAAUCUGAACCAGCGAUUAAAAGACCUGGAGAAUCCCACAGAUUGACCUGUACAACAUCUGGAUUCACACUUAGUAGCUACUGGAUGCACUGGAUCAGACAGGCUCCUGGAAAAGGACUGGAGUGGAUUGCUGCUGAUACUAGUAGUAGUAGCAACUACUACUCUCAGUCAUCAGUCCAAGGCCGGUUUACCAUCUCCAGAGACAACAGCAGAGAGCAGCUGUAUCUGCAGAUGAACAGUCUGAAGACUGAAGAUUCUGCUGUUUAUUAUUGUCCUCUGCAGGUGCAGACUGAGUCAAGUUCCCACCAUGACAGUUGUACAGAGUGUCCUCCUCUUGGCUCUCAUUUCAGCUGGUCAGGGCCAGUCCCUCACCUCCUCAGAGCCAGUGGUGAGCAGAGCUGGACAACCAGUCACUCUGUCCUGUAA